ACCCAGUUUUGAACUAAGCUAGCAGUUCCCUUCGAUUGUUACUGCUAUUCUAGUCUAAACAAGUCCUGGACCUAUUUUGUUAAGGAGCAGACAUGCAGGUGUAUUUUAGAUUUUAAGAUUAAAAUGGAAAUAAGAGCACAUUAGCAAGAGCAAGACAGUAUUUCUAACGGUUUAUUCUCACAUCCAUGGCAGGCUCGGUAACAAUCAGGAGUCUUUCCAACUGUAUUUUCGAUAAACUGAAUAUGGCAGAGACACGCUUUAAAGAGAACUACCUUGACGAACUUAAAGACUUCAAAGCUGGAUCUGAAGAUCAAAUAGCUGAAAGAAUCAAAGAGAAGCAUGGAAAAUGUGGAACCUAUGGUCCCCGUGCCAAUAGCUGUGAACAUCUUGCUACCUAUGUGCGCUAUGGAGUGUCAAUUUCACUGCAGCCGGGCCAGAAUGUCGCACAAUACUGCAAAAAUGAUGCCAGCCUCAAUAUUGAAGAAAUACGGACGAAAAUAGGACCUGGUCCAGAGACAACAUGUGAUUCUUUGUGUCCAAGGUCCAAAAGGGGUCCCGGUUAACAAGUGUGUUUCCAAUCCUGAGGCGGUGGCCUUUCCUCACAUGACAUGAGGUCUUAUUUGAAAUAAAAAAAGAGAAAGAA